AGCUCCUGGAGAUGCAUUGCUCAACAAGGGGGAUCCUUUUUGGGUUGCUGGCACACAGCAAACAGAGGAAUUGGUCAGCAACUGAACAUACUAGAAAGGUUUGGGGGGAACUGACCUUGAUUUAUAGCACUUGUAGAUACUGGGAUAUAUAGUUCACCUGCAAUCUAAGAGCACUCUGAACUCCACCAACGAUGGACCUGGAACUAACUUGGAACACAGAACACCCAUGACCUGCAAAAAAUACUGGUGAUUUUUGAAGGGAUUUUAUAGGAUUUGCAGUUCACCUACAUCCAGGGCAGACUAUAAACCCAAACAAGGAUGACUCUGGACCAAACUAGGCAUGCAUACCCGAUAUACCCAAAUUUGAAUAUUGGUGGGUUGUUUCCAUAUCAUCUGACUCAAUGUAUAGAAUAUAAUGUAAUAGACUAACAUUUUAAAAAUCUC
rnacentral:lncRNA from 11 species